GAUGAACGCUGGCGGCGUGCCUAAUACAUGCAAGUCGAGCGAACAGACGAGGAGCUUGCUCUUCUGACGUUAGCGGCGGACGGGUGAGUAACACGUGGAUAACCUACCUAUAAGACUGGGAUAACUUCGGGAAACCGUAGCUAAUACCGGAUAACAUGUUGAACCGCAUGGUUCAACAGUGAAAGACGGCUUUGCUGUUACUUAUAGAUGGAUCCGCGCCGCAUUAGCUAGUUGGUAAGGUAACGGCUUACCAAGGCAACGAUGCGUAGCCGACCUGAGAGGAUGAUCGGCCACACUGGAACUGAGACACGGUCCAGACUCCUACGGGAGGCAGCAGUAGGGAAUCUUGCGCAAUGGGCGAAAGCCUGACGGAGCAACGCCGCGUGAGUGAAGAAGGUCUUCGGAUCGUAAAGCUCUGUUGUUAGGGAAGAAAAAAUGUGUAAGUAAAUAUGCACGUCUUGACGGUACCUAAUCAGAAAGCAACGGCUAACUACGUG
rnacentral:rRNA from 1 species